GAAACGUCGGUGACCUCCUGCGGGCGGCGUAGCUGCUCCUGGAGGUACUGAACCUUUCCUCUUUCUCUGCUGGUUUCCUGUCAUCCGGAGCAGCUUUCAUAAAAUCGCAAGGUAUAAAGUAACAGAGUUAGGAGCUAAAAGUGCCUUUUUGUCGACCGAGCCCAGCACUCCCACGUCGGCGCAGGCCAGGACCCCGUGACCUUGUUUCCGCUGCCACUGGCCCUGAGCUGGCAGGGCAGCAGGGUCCACCCACUACGCCCUUCUCCCUUCCCAGCACUCAGAGCCCAGCCGUGACCAGCUGAUGUACGAUGGGCGUCAGGAGAGCCGGGCUAACAGACUGUUUAGCCGGCCUAUAAAAUCCAUGCUCUACUUUCUCUGCAUUACUUGGUGCUGGUGACUCCCCAGUCCCUCAAGGUGUAACCCUGCUUCUCUAGUUGGCCCACUGGACACCACUCUGGAUGCCAUUCUGCCACUUCACAUGUUUUGAAAAGGUUUAACUCACCUGGCCCCGUCAGACAAAGAAAACACUUUACAACGUUUGAGGAUCCUUAAUCCAAAAAUGUGAAAUCCAAAAAGCUCCAAAGUCUGAAACUUCCUGAGCACUGACAUGAAAACACGCGUCCAGGAUUCCCCAUCUGACUUCACGAGAUGGUUGGCAAUAAAAUGCAGGCUGGUAAAAUUGCUGUGCUGUAUGAAAUCACCUCCAGGCUGUGGGAGUAAGGUCCGGCCCUCCAGCACGGUGACCCUGUCCUCAUGUGCAGUCGUGUGCUGUUCCCUCAUUUGACUGGUUCCAUGGAGCAAAGGCGCACCAGAAGAAUGCAAGCACCUCCAUACAGGUCAACUUCAUUCUGGCAAGAAAUUCCAGCCAUAAUUCUAACAUGAAAUGUAAGAAAAAUUCAGAAACCGAAACUUGAAGUUUGCUAGAUUAAAAAUACAGCAAGGUCCUUAUCAAGUUCCAGCUUGGUGAAGGCCUUCGAUUUUACUGUUUUACAAAAGGCUUCUAAACAAACCCAGUCUCAAAGCAAACAGCUUUCCCUUUGGUAUACAGGCUCGGUUUGUCUAAGUAUUAGUUUAAGGAACUGGUUGUUUUGUCUAAGAAAAGCCAUCUCCACAAAACCGACAUAUUUCUUCUUUCCGUGGCAAUGAUAUCUACAAGCUACCAUUAUUUUUCCCUUUAACCAACUUCAAAUAAAUACUAAAAAUUAAUAAUGAAGUUAACAAAAUUAAGUUUUAUUUUUAUAAAAUUCAUGCUUUUAAAAAUUCAG
rnacentral:lncRNA from 1 species